rnacentral:tRNA from 1 species
GGGGUGUAGCUCAGUUGGGAGAGCGUUCGGUUCGCAUCCGAGAGGUCAGGGGUUCGAAUCCCCUCAUCUCC